UACGGAGGGUGCAAGCGUUAUCCGGAUUCACUGGGUUUAAAGGGUGCGUAGGCGGGUUGGUAAGUCAGUGGUGAAAUCCCUCGGCUCAACCGAGGAACGUCGAUCGAUACUGCUGUUCUUGAGGAUUGCAGAGGAGACUGGAAUUCCCGGUGUAGCGGUGAAAUGUGUAGAGAUCGGGAGGAACACCGGUGGCGAAGGCGGGUCUCUGGGCCUUACCUGACGCUGAGGAGCGAAAGCGUGGGGAGCGAACAGG
rnacentral:rRNA from 1 species